rnacentral:rRNA from 1 species
UACGGGGGGGGUAAGCGUUGUUCGGAAUUACUGGGCGUAAAGGGCUCGUAGGCGGCCAACUAAGUCAUACGUGAAAUCCCUCAGCUUAACUGGGGAACUGCGUGUGAUACUGGAUGGCUUGGAUUUGGGAGAGGGAUGCGGAAUUCCAGGUGUAGAGGUGAAAUUCGUAGAUAUUCGGAAGAACACCAGUGGCGAAGGCGGCUCACUGGUCCGGUACUGACGCUGAGGUGCGAAAGCGUGGGGAGCAAACAGG